GGAGAGGUGACCGAGAGGCCGAAGGUGCACGAUUGGAAAUCGUGUGUACUGCAAGGUACCGAGGGUUCGAAUCCCUCCCUCUCCG
rnacentral:tRNA from 1 species